UUUGCUUUUUAUUUAUUUAUCUACAGUAUUUUUGGAAUGCCUUUUCUUAGAAAAUAUCAUAUGAUCUUUGUUUAUGACACCACCAACGAAGACGACGUGAAUGACCAAGAUGGUGUGGACGAUGUGAACGAUGAGGAAGACAUGGAAAGACUCGUUCACUCAUGGACAUUAUGAUGCAGCGUAUCACAAUUAUAUCUUUUACUUUAAGCUUUGUUUUAUUUUUGUAAGAACUAACUAAGCUUUUAUU
rnacentral:sRNA from 1 species